UAUGGCCAAAUAUUACUUUAUGUUUAUAUU
rnacentral:piRNA from 1 species